CACUUGUGUUUGUGCUUUGAAUUGGAAACCUAGUGCUCUUCUUAGGGUGUGUGUGUGUGUGUCGUUCAGUGUGUGUGUGCUCUGAAUGUUCAGUGUUUCUCAUUAUGUCUCCCGUGUGUCAAGUCAGUACCUCAUCAGAGAUCAUUGCUCUGACCGGAGCCCCUGCUGCUUCCUGUAUCAAACCCUGUUUCUCUGGGCAGCUUGUUGGCACACAGUCAAACUGACUGACAGGCAUCGUCUGACCCUAGGAAGGGAAAGGUCUCUCUAAUCAUGUCUCUCAUUUCUCUCACUAACAAGCUGUUGUCCUGAAUUCUGGGAAAUAACCGAGCAUGAAAGAUUGCUAAAGGUCGUUAGUAUCAGAGGUCUGGAUGUAGUAGUGACUGGGGAACAGUGACUGAGAUAUCUAGUAGGUCUGUAGUAGUGACUGGAGAACAGUGACUGAGAUAUCUAGUAGGUCUGUAGUAGUGACUGGAGAACAGUGACUGAGAUAUCUAGUAGGUCUGUAGUAGUGACUGGAGAACAGUGACUGAGAUAUCUAGUAGGUCUGUAGUAGUGACUGGAGAACAGUGACUGAGAUAUCUAGUAGGUCUGUAGUAGUGACUGGAGAACAGUGACUGAGAUAUCUAGUAGGUCUGUAGUAGUGACUGGAGAACAGUGACUGAGAUAUCUAGUAGGUCUGUAGUAGUGACUGGAGAACAGUGACUGAGAUAUCUAGUAGGUCUGUAGUAGUGACUGAGAUAUCUAGUAGGUCUGUAGUAGUGACUGAGAUAUCUAGUAGGUCUGUAGUAGUGACUGGAGAACAGUGACUGAGAUAUCUAGUAGGUCUGUAGUAGUGACUGGAGAACAGUGACUGAGAUAUCUAGUAGGUCUGUAGUAGUGACUGGAGAACAGUGACUGAGAUAUCUAGUAGGUCUGUAGUAGUGACUGGAGAACAGUGACUGAGAUAUCUAGUAGGUCUGUA